rnacentral:lncRNA from 1 species
AUGAAUGCUCAAGUCUCACGAAGUGCAGAGGUGAAAGUUUGCAAGAUGACCACAGAAAUCAAGAUGGGCCAAAGAUCUUGCCUGGAACCACACCGUUUUGAACGUUUUUCGGAGUGGCACAGUCUUCUUAGAGCAGUAGCUAGGCUUAUACAUCGUUUAGCUUGCAAAGAUAGUGAGCCUUUACAGGUCCAGGAUAUGAUAAAGGCUAAGAGCGUCAUAUUCAAGUCAGUGCAGAGAUCUGCUUUCAAGCAGGAAAUAGCUAGGCUAGAGCAAGGGCUCAACAUCCCUAAUCAAAGUCUUCUAAAUGAGUUAAACCCAUUUCUAGACAAGGAGGGUAUUUUGAGAGUUGGAGGAAGGUUAGCCAAAGCUAAACUCAAGGCGUGCAUAAAGAACCCCAUCAUCAUACCCCCUAAUAGUCACACUGCAUUGCUGCUCGUUCGGCAUCACCAUGAAAGGAUCCAUCAUCAGGGUAGAACUCUAACUGAGGCAGCCCUUAGAAAUGAAGGUCUGUGGGUAGUUAAUGCCAAAAGGUUGGUCAACAGUUGUAUUUUCAAAUGUGUUAAAUGCAGGCGCCUUAGGCGAAACUGUCAAAGUCAGUUAAUGGCAGAACUACCUCAGGAUAGGACUUUGACAGACCCACCCUUUUCCCAUGUGGGAAUCAAUGUGUUUGGUCCUUGGGAAAUUGUUACAAGAAAAACCAGUGGUGUUGUAAAUAACAAAAGAUGUGCGGUUUUGUUUACUUGUUUAGUAAUACGAGCUGUCCAUAUAGAAGUCAUAGAAGGGAUGGACACUUCAUCAUUUUUAAAUGCAUUGAAAAGGUUCAUAGCCCUCAGAGGGCCAAUUAAGUCAAUUCGAUCGGACUGUGGCACCAAUUUUGCAUGUGCAGACCUUAGCCAACCACUUCUGGAAGAGGUGGAAGGCCGAAUACUUAAGCCAGCUUCCAACCAGAAGACUCUGGCUAACCCCAGAGGACAAUUUCAAGGUGGGAAACCUUGUGUUGCUAAAGGACAAAGACUUGCCCCGCUAUGCCUGGCCUAUGGGCAUUACACUAAAGACCUUUCCUUGCCCUGA